rnacentral:rRNA from 1 species
GACGAACGCUGGCGGCGUGCUUAACACAUGCAAGUCGAACGGAAAGGCCCUGCUUUUGUGGGGUGCUCGAGUGGCGAACGGGUGAGUAACACGUGAGUAACCUGCCCUUGACUUUGGGAUAACUUCAGGAAACUGGGGCUAAUACCGGAUAGGAGCUCCUGCUGCAUGGUGGGGGUUGGAAAGUUUCGGCGGUUGGGGAUGGACUCGCGGCUUAUCAGCUUGUUGGUGGGGUAGUGGCUUACCAAGGCCUUGACGGGUAGCCGGCCUGAGAGGGUGACCGGCCACAUUGGGACUGAGAUACGGCCCAGACUCCUACGGGAGGCAGCAGUGGGGAAUAUUGCACAAUGGGCGGAAGCCUGAUGCAGCAACGCCGCGUGCGGGAUGACGGCCUUCGGGUUGUAAACCGCUUUCGCCUGUGACGAAGCGUGAGUGACGGUAAUGGGUAAAGAAGCACCGGCUAACUACGUGCCAGCAGCCGCGGUGAUACGUAGGGUGCGAGCGUUGUCCGGAUUUAUUGGGCGUAAAGGGCUCGUAGGUGGUUGAUCGCGUCGGAAGUGUAAUCUUGGGGCUUAACCCUGAGCGUGCUUUCGAUACGGGUUGACUUGAGGAAGGUAGGGGAGAAUGGAAUUCCUGGUGGAGCGGUGGAAUGCGCAGAUAUCAGGAGGAACACCAGUGGCGAAGGCGGUUCUCUGGGCCUUUCCUGACGCUGAGGAGCGAAAGCGUGGGGAGCGAACAGGCUUAGAUACCCUGGUAGUCCACGCUGUAAACGGUGGGUACUAGGUGUGGGGUCCAUUCCACGGGUUCCGUGCCGUAGCUAACGCUUUAAGUACCCCGCCUGGGGAGUACGGCCGCAAGGCUAAAACUCAAAGGAAUUGACGGGGCCCCGCACAAGCGGCGGAGCAUGCGGAUUAAUUCGAUGCAACGCGUAGAACCUUACCUGGGUUUGACAUGGAUCGGGAGUGCUCAGAGAUGGGUGUGCCUCUUUUGGGGUCGGUUCACAGGUGGUGCAUGCCUGUCGUCAGCUCGUGUCGUGAGAUGUUGGGUUAAGUCCCGCAACGAGCGCAACCCUUGUUCACUGUUGCCAGCACGUUAUGGUGGGGACUCAGUGGAGACCGCCGGGGUCAACUCGGAGGAAGGUGGGGAUGACGUCAAGUCCUCAUGCCCCUUAUGUCCAGGGCUUCACGCAUGCUACAAUGGCUGGUACAGAGAGUGGCGAGCCUGUGAGGGUGAGCGAAUCUCGGAAAGCCGGUCUCAGUUCGGAUUGGGGUCUGCAACUCGACCUCAUGAAGUCGGAGUCGCUAGUAAUCGCAGAUCAGCAACGCUGCGGUGAAUACAAUCCCGGGGCU